rnacentral:tmRNA from 1 species
GGGGAUGAAUCAGCUUCGACGACGGACUUUUUAUAUAACAGCAAGCCGUGCAGGAUGGUCGCGCACGUAAAUCCAGACCAUCAACAUGACAACUGCCAACGUCAUUUCCAAGGUAAAGAGUGCGGUCGCUUCGGCGUUCCGUGCCCCAGCCUUCGCCCCGUCCCUCGCGUAAGCGAGCCUGAUGGGCCGAUCCUCUUCUCCCCGUCUCAGGGAAAAGAACCGAUCGCCAUAUCUUUGAGACUUGGUUCUCUACGCGCUUCCCGCAGAGAAUGACAAGGCUUGGUAGAUAGACUUCCGUCCGUCGCCCGUUCAUACGCGGCAGAAGCGACUUUUCUAAGAACGGGCCAAGCUUGUGAAUGAUGUUAUGUAAGGGUUUGCUCGGACGGGGGUGCGAUUCCCCCCAUCUCCACCA